GCGGGGAUAGCUCAGUUGGGAGAAGGUCAGACUGAAGAUCUGAAGGUCGCGUGUUCGAUCCACGCUCACCGCA
rnacentral:tRNA from 1 species